ACGAUACCGCGAGGAGGAGCAAAUCUGAAAAAAAGACGUCCCUAGUUCGGAUUGUAGGCUGAAACUCGCCUACAUGAAGCUGGAAUUGCUAGUAAUGGCAGGUCAGCAUACUGCCGUGAAUACGUUCCCGGGCCUUGUACACACCGCCCGUCACACCAUGAGAGUUGGAAAUACCCGAAGCCUGUGAGCUAACUGUAAAGAGGCAGCAGUCGAAGGUGGAGCCAAUGAUUGGGGUGAAGUCGUAACAAGGUACC
rnacentral:rRNA from 1 species